GGACCCGUAGCUCAACUGGAUAGAGCAUCAGACUACGAAUCUGAAGGUUAUGAGUUCGAAUCUCGUCGGGUUCA
rnacentral:tRNA from 1 species